GCGCAGAGGAACGAUUGUGUUUGGUCCGUUGGCCUCCCCAAAGCGGUGUGAAUGGUAGAUGCGAUCGAUUUCCUUACGGCACGGCGAUCCCUUGGAGCAUAGAUUGUCCAUAUCGGCUUCAAGUAUACGAAAGUCUCCCCACGUAUCCUUGCAUCGUUGACGAAACACCCUGCCGAUGAAUCCUCCCGCUCCAUGGCCGCUGCCUCGGUUGGCCAGACAAAAAGAUCGCUCCUUGAGGUCGCGCACGGUCUCGGCUCGUCUCUUUGUAAAGGCCCGCCGUUCCAGCCACGACCAGUCGUAUCUUUCACCAUAGAAUCCGUAUCGUCGAUCCCCCGUGUCGUCGCCCAUCGCUGUUGCCAGGGUGGCGCUACUACCGCGUCAGUGUUGUCGGUGGUGUGGCUGUUGCCGCCUUUUUGGAUGAAAGAAAAAUUAG
rnacentral:lncRNA from 1 species